CACGCCACGAGAGGAGGGAGGCGGCGCGCAUCCAGAUCCAGGCAGCGCGCCGAGGAAGGACAGGCGGUGCUGUUCGCCGGGAGCAGAGGGCGCCGGCGGCUGCGACCACGGGGGCCAGCGGGUCGAGGUUCGUCCGUCCUCUCGCUUACGCUCCGACGGCCCCUACGCACGGAGGGAACGCCCUGCCCGGCGGACGCGCACCACCUGUUCGACCGGUGGCCCAGCCCGCUCCGGUGCCCGAGCGCGCCGCCGUCCUCCGCCACCGCCGAAGUAAGGCAUAGAGAAGAAAGUCCUCUGGUUGAAUUUGUCCAUAGCAUCAUCCAUCCUACCAUUCAACGGCGGCUGCUGCUGCCCCACCGGUGGGUAGGAUGGCUGGUGCUAUGGAUAGCUUCAACCCGAUGUUCGUGACAUACCCCCGUCCGUCGUGAGUCAAGCAGGGAGCCAAUCCUCUGGUUGAAUUUGUCCAUAGCAUCAGCGUCGGCCGUUCAACUGCGGGCGGUGGUAGUUGCUGCCUUUUGGCGCUGGUGCUAUGGAUAAAUCCAACCGGAUGGUUGUGACAUACCCGAUUGAAAGAAGCUUCGAGGCCACGCGAAUACAGGCCGGUGGGAGCAGAGUGCCCUGGCGGUGGCCCUAACUGGUCCAUCGUCGACCGCGAUGGUUGGCAUACCAAUUGAAAGAAGAAGCCUUGCUGAGUUUUUCUACAUCAUACAACCUGCCAUCGACUCUGAUAGGCUCCUUCUGCAGAAAGGGUGAGAUGGAUGUUGCUCUGGAUGGAUGAUUGGACGCAGAUCCCUUUGGUUACCUCAUUCAUUGUUAUUGUAUUCUAAUUUGAAUCUGCCUUGCUCUAACUGAAUAUUCUAUUAUCCACAAAAAAAGUGAAUUUUGUAUAUCAUCAUACAACCUGCCAAUAGACUCUGAUGCUCCUUUUGCAUAAUGUGUAGGUUGGAUGUUGCUGUUGAUGAAUUCCACUGGAUGAUUCAUAUCCGUGUACACCCCAACGCAGUAGUUGCCUGAUUUAUGGUCGUUGGACUCAUGUUGACUCUAGUUUUAAACAAGUUAAAAUCUAGACCUAAUGAAUCCUUCCUUGUUUGUACAGUUCUAAUCCACAUCCAUUGUACCAAGCACCAGUAUCUGGACAUUGCAAAGGUGAUGAAGGGGGAGGGGUGUCUGUACAAUGUCCUGUGACAUGGUUCAUGUGUAUUGGUUGUCUUUUGUCUUUUGAGUUAAUGCUAGAAUUAUUUGUUGCAGCUAACCUGGGGUCUUAUGCAGUUUUGUAAGUGUGCAUGGUUUAGAAGGUCAGAACGCUCCACUAUGUAUGGGAUUUGUACGAUUCUGAACUUAAAGUUCUUUAGAAGUCAGAAAGCUCCACUAUGUAUCAGUAGAAUUGAAAAUCCUCUGGUUGAAUUUGUCCAUAGCAUCAUCCAUCCUACCAUUCAACGGUGGCUGCUGCUGCCCAACGGUGGGUAGGAUGGCUUGUGCUAUGGAUAGCUUCAACCUGAUGUUGGUGACAUACCCCCGUCCGUCGUAAGUCAAGCAGGGAGCCAAUCCUCUGGUUGAAUUUUUCCAUAGCAUCAGCACCGGCCAUUCAACUCUGGUGGUAGUAGUUGCUGCCUUUUGGCGCUGGUGCUAUGGAUAAAUUCAACCGGAUGGUUGUGCAUACCAAUUGAAAGAAGAAGCCUUGCUUAGAGAAUCAGCUGAUAAUCAGUUUGAAGCUGGGAGCCAGUUUUCCGGUUGAGUUUGUAGAGAGCAUCCAUCCAUCCCGCCGUCCAGCUGUGGUAGCUGCUACCUUCUUGCACGAUGAGUAAGAUGGCUGAUGCUCUGGAUAAACUCAACCCGAUGGUUGUGCAUACCCGAGUGAAAGAAUAAGCCUUGCUUAAAGUUAUAAGUGAGCCGACUGUCUGUUUGAAGCAGGGAGUCAUCUCAUCUUGGUCACUUGGUUGAAUUUUCUUAUAUCAUCAUACAGCCUGCCUUUGGACUCGGAUGCUCUUUUUGCAGAAUGGGUAGGUUGGAUGUUGCUGUGGACCAAUUCCACUGGAUGAUUCAUGUUAUUCGUCUACUACUGGACACAGAUCCUCUUAGUUACCUUAUUCAUGGUUCUUGUACUCAUGCUGACUCUAACUGAAUAUUCAAUUAUCUAGAAAAAGAUAGUUGAAAUCUAUACCUAAAUCUUGUUAUUAUUCUUGUUUUUACAGUUUGAAGCUGCAUACAUGAUACCAUGGUUCCAAGGACCAAAAUCUGGACAGUGCAAAACUUUCAACAGGGUUCAUAUGUAUGGGUUGUCUUGCAGGUUCAGUUUGCUGUGGCGAAUUCUUCUAGAAUUUCUUGUGCAAACUUACAGGUUCAGCUCAGAAACUCAUUCAUGCAUGGAAUUUGUACCAUUCUAAACUGAAAAUUUGUAUCUCAAAAUUAUCAAGGGCCAUAUAUAAAAUUAUUUGUUGCUAGAUAAAAAAUUCUUAUUUCCAAAUACAAAAAGCUUGCACAAGAUAUGUUAUUUUGGAAUCAUUGACACAUGAAGUAAGUGCAGUCGUGAAACACUGUUUUUUGAGACCCUCUAUUUCUACUCAGUAUUAGUCUAUGCACAACAAGCUCCUUUGUGCCGCAUGAUAUAAAGAUUGCAUCUCAGAUAUUUGUUUGAGCCAUUUUCCUGUCAGUGGAAUCAUUCAAGUCAGUUGUAAGAUCAUGUUUCUGAAGCUUGGUGCAUUUUAACUUCCUAUACAUGUUUGGUAUGAAAGGAGCUUGACAUUGACCCUUGUCAAUUUUUAGUGACGGCCUUCUAAAUUAGCGCAGCAAAGGAAAAACAUUCUUAUUACUUGCUAGUUAUUGAAAUUUUGUUGAAAGAUGUUGUAUCCGGAAGCGUGUAUAAUUUUCAGUCGAACAGUUUCAUAUUAAAUUUUUGGCAACUGCCAAGAUGUCUUGUAUUUGUAAACAGAGGAUUUAGAUGUUAAUUUAUGUGAAUUGAAUUCUUUUUUUUUUUGAGGAAA